AAUCAACGCUGGCGGCGUGCCUCAGACAUGCAAGUCGAACGAUUAAAGCUCUCUUCGGAGAGUGUAUAGAGUGGCGCACGGGUGAGUAACACGUAAGUAAUCUACCUUCGAGUGGGGAAUAACACCGAGAAAUCGGUGCUAAUACCGCAUAAUGCAGCGGCAUCGCAAGAUGACAGUUGUUAAAGAUUUAUCGCUUGAAGAGGAGCUUGCGGCAGAUUAGCUAGUUGGUAAGGUAAUGGCUUACCAAGGCUACGAUCUGUAACCGGUCUAAGAGGACGGUCGGUCACACUGACACUGAAUAACGGGUCAGACUCCUACGGGAGGCAGCAGUCGGGAAUUUUGGGCAAUGGGCGAAAGCCUGACCCAGCAACGCCGCGUGAAGGAUGAAGUAUUUCGGUAUGUAAACUUCGAAAGAAUGGGAAGAAUAAAUGACGGUACCAUUUAUAAGGUCCGGCUAACUACGUGCCAGCCG
rnacentral:rRNA from 1 species